GAAUUUACAACCACAGGCCAUGUUGAAUUGGAGAAAAAUGGGACGAGAGUCUUCAAAAAUGCAGGAAGUGCCCUGUUGGACAUUAUUGCGUUAACUGUAGCCUAACAUGUGACAUCCCUUACUACGGAUAUCGCUGAUUAACGGGAACGUGUGCAUGUAAUCGAAUAUCUUGUCAAAUAUCACCAGCAUGUCACAGAAUAAGAGAAACAAAGCAAAUAUCAAUGGAAACAAAGACAACGGCAAUGAUAUCCAACGAGAAUAUUGGAACUAACAAAGAUAUUCAUGCAAAAAAAGAUAAAAGGACUCUCAUCUUCACCUCCGUUAACCGAAACUCUAACAUCGCUACUGAGUAAUAAAACUGACCUUGUAAAUAAAAAUACUUUUUCAUUUCCAUA